AGUGGUCUUCUGCACCUGUGAAAGAGAACAAAGCAGGGUUAUCUUCCAGAUGGGGACUUCAGACGCAGAGCGAACCCUUGCUGUGGCCAGGCUUGUAGAAAAUGAUGUGGCUGGUAUUGACGUCAACAUGGGCUGUCCAAAAGAGUAUUCCACCAAGGGAA